rnacentral:rRNA from 1 species
CCUACGGUGGCGCAGCAGUGGGGAAUAUUGGACAAUGGGCGAAAGCCUGAUCCAGCCAUGCCGCGUGUGUGAAGAAGGCCUUCGGGUUGUAAAGCACUUUCAGUGGGGAAGAAAGCCUUGGGGCUAAUACCCUCGAGGAAGGACAUCACCCACAGAAGAAGCACCGGCUAACUCCGUGCCAGCAGCCGCGGUAAUACGGAGGGUGCGAGCGUUAAUCGGAAUUACUGGGCGUAAAGCGCGCGUAGGCGGUCUGAUAAGCCGGUUGUGAAAGCCCCGGGCUCAACCUGGGAACGGCAUCCGGAACUGUCAGGCUAGAGUGCAGGAGAGGAAGGUAGAAUUCCCGGUGUAGCGGUGAAAUGCGUAGAGAUCGGGAGGAAUACCAGUGGCGAAGGCGGCCUUCUGGACUGACACUGACGCUGAGGUGCGAAAGCGUGGGUAGCAAACAGGAUUAGAUACCCGAGUAGUC